rnacentral:rRNA from 1 species
AUUGCACGCUGGCGGCAGGCUUAACACAUGCAAGUCGAGCGAGCGGCGGACGGGUGAGUAAUGUCUGGGAAACUGCCUGAUGGAGGGGGAUAACUACUGGAAACGGUAGCUAAUACCGCAUACCAUCGGAUGUGCCCAGAUGGGAUUAGCUAGUAGGUGGGGUAAAGGCUCACCUAGGCGACGAUCCCUCGCUGGGCUGAGAGGAUGGCCAGACCCACUGGAACGGAGACACUGUCCAGUCUCGUCCUAGAACCAUCACUAUCCAAUAUUGCACAGUCGGCGCAAGCCUGAUUCAGCCAUGCCGCGUGUAUGAAGAAUACCCUCGGGUUUUAAAGUACUUUCAGCUGGGAGGCGUUACCCGCAGAAGAGGCACCGGCUAACUCGGUGCCGGCAGCCGCGGUAAUAC